AGAGAAAUAAACAAGUUGUGUUUUCCACAAAAUUCAAGUUUAUAUAAUUGACAGUUUUUUUUUUAAUAAAACACUAAUAAAAAUUGAAUUUGACUCAAAUAUCUUUUAGUAAUCGUUAUAUUUAUUGUGCUUAAGAUUUUGUUAAAGUUUAAGUAAAUUGAUUGAUGGGUGCAGAUGGAAUGUUAUUACUUAGGGUUGCACCCCAGCGUCCUCUUGUAAUGUCUAUUCAUUGCAUUAAUAUAUUUUAAUACAAUUUACAUCGCUUUUAUAAAAAUUACUUCUAGUAAAAUUUCAGUGUCGUGUAAAUUGUGCUUUUUUAAAAUUCUUCCUCCAAUCUUAAGUCGUACAUACUAAUCCAAACUGUGCCACAUGCAUUUGAACUCUACAACUCAUCAACAUGUAAACAUUAAAAAAGAACAAAAUGCUAGAUUUAAAACUUAAUUGAAAACUUAAAUAAUGUGAAAAUAGAAAAUAUUUGUGAAACAAAACAUAAUACACGCUCUUUGUUAGUUUGAUAUCAAGUAUCUUUCAUUUUUUUGAAAAGUGUUGUUCGUAGUUACCACGCAAUUAUUGAUUGCGUCACAAAUUCGUGAUACCUAUUCAAAACACUUUUUAUUUUCAUAAUGUUCAAGCUUUUACAUUAAUAAAGUACUAGCCGACCCGUGAUCGCGUUGCUUCGUAAAUUGUAACUACGAACACCUUUUGAAUAUUAGUAUUAGCAUAUGAAAAAAUUUCUCAACGGGGUUGAGCAUAUUUUCUACAAUAAUAUUAAUUUUCGUUUAUAUGUAUAUACGUACACUUGACAAAAAAAAAAAAUAGUUUGUUCAUGUUUGUGAAUAUUAUAAAUAUUUUUUUUUAUUUUAAAGCCUCCGGACAAUACUGCAGUUAUAUUACUGUGAGGAAGAAAAACGUUUUUUUUGCAACCGAAAAAUAUAGUUUGCGGUAAAAAAAAAAAACAAAUUUGUGUUUUUAAUGUUCUCAUACAUCUAUAGGCAUGCGUGUGUAAAUAUCCAUAGACACAAUUUUUUAUUCAUCUGCUCCUGUUCAGUGCAGUGCAACUGACUUAACUUACCCACAUUUGUGUGCUCUUUUUAUCGACGUCAAUGCCGUAUGUUUAACUUAGAAGUGAUUUAAGGCUGAAAAUUUGCGACACAAUAUUGACUUUAUGAAGCAAUGCUAAUCAAUAAUAUUUAAGUUUGACAAAUAAUUAAAAAAUAAAUUGGGUGGCGCAACAGUCCGUUGAGAACCAAGGCCUAGUGACUUACAACUCUCAACCAUUCCUGUGUGCGAGUAAUGUUGUCAGGAAUGGAGGGGACCUUCAGUUUAUAUGCCGAAUCCGAACGGCUAAUUUGAGAAAGCACUUUUUCAUGACUAGAGGUACUCUUACAGAAUUUGUCAAUUCCUCGCAAGAGGCAGUACCCGUGAAAAGACUUUAGAUGGCACAGGCAAGGAUCGAAUAUAAGACCUCUGGCAUGACAGUCCAACGCACAAACCAU